GUCGGCUCUCAGUGGUAGAGCGUUCCGUUCACAUCGGAAAGGUCACAGGUCCGAUCCCUGUAGUGCCCACU
rnacentral:tRNA from 2 species